AACUUUUUGAAUUCACGCAUAGAUUUUGUCAGACACCAACUCAUUAAGGCUGAUCAGACUUCCAAGAUAAGUGAAGUU
rnacentral:pre_miRNA from 1 species